CUCACCUCUCCUGGAAACAGCCUCCCCCUGUUGUCUGUCAACUGAGAACGUGGAUUUCGUACUCGGUCACCACCAUUUUACGUACACUCUAGAAAAAAAACAUCGAAUUUUAUCAAUCGAUUUGCCCAAUUUCUCUUCUCCGUUGCACGAAACAAUCGCCACACGAUCGAACGCAGUUCGUUAGUUUGCGUAAUUAUCGGCGCGAAAGCGCACAUUGUCGUCGGUUGUCGCGAGAACGUCCGUCUCGAAGGAGGCCCGAGACCACGGAAUACCAUCGUGGCUAGUGACACGGUAAUUUCGUUGUUGAAAUCGCUGUGCGUGGCAGCGCACUGACUUUCUAUGAUGCGAGGCAGAUUUUUUACCUUUUUUCGUACAGCCUACCACGUAUACAGCCACGUGUAUGCCUCUCGAAGAGAACGCGCGACUUUUCCUUCGCGAAUUUUCCUCCAGUACACCGCUUCGAUAACGCUACACACACCUAGCUACCACUCUACGCCGCUAAGCCGAUCGAAGUCGUCGACCGAAUCAAGCGAGCAAGCAAUAUUCCGCGUUCCAAAAUACAGCAGCUGUUUAUUAACUGGUGAAAAAGUUAUCUCGCUAAAAUCGGUGUUCGACGAUCGACCAACCUAACCCUCGAACGAUAACGGGUUCGAUUCGAGGAACGAGCGCCGAUUAAAUCGCGACACGCAGCUGUGCUGUGCAACUCGAGAAUCGACCGCGUUUUCUCGAUCUUUGGAAAUCGUCCGUUUCUUUUCUCCCUGUCGUUAAUGCCACUUCUCCCGCAACCAAGAAUCGCAUCGAGAUUGCCGGUUAACGAGUACCACGCGAUUUCUCGAAUCGUUCGAUUCUGAUUCACCAUCGAGAUAAUGUCUUUACGCCCGAUUGCAUAAGAGAUUCGCGUGCUCGGGUCCGUCACGUGAUACGCAAUUAAGGACCAGAUACUUAUUAGGAGUUAUUUGUCAGGCGACUUAUUCCGCCGCUCCAUAUAUUUAAUUACAGUGUAUUUUACGCUUGCUCGAUAUUAUCUCGCAGCUCGAUAUUAUAUCGUUUCGUUCGAUCCUUUAUUACAUCAUUUUUAAUCUGUAGGCCAUGUUUCGCAUACUCAAACUAAUUAUCGCAGAUUAGUCGCCGAUCCUACAUUAAAUAAAACGUUAAAAUAGAUUAAUUUUAUAAUGGCCAUCGUUAUCUCGUUUAAUCGCCGAUACAACAACGAUUAAACGGUGCAAGAUAAUCCACGCGUCUCGCACUUGUGUGGCAAUUUAUCUACUCGACACUACUCGAAAACGUGACAAAACGUUGCAAAAUAAUUAUUUUAAUCUUUGCGUCAUGUUUAAUCUGUACAGUUUUUUAUAAUGUUUGCCUGAACAUCGUGAACAUAUUUCUGGAUUUCAAGUACGCCAUUCCUACGUAUUAUUUCUACGUAUUAUUCCUACCGUUUGUUUUUCAUUCGAACGUCAAAACGACAAUCGUCUACGUGUAAAUCAUUGUACAUGAGCGACCAGGUCAGAGGUCAGAGAGUAAAAUUGGAUUCGCACAAAGCAAAGCGGCACGCGCUUCGUUUACGUACAGGUGCGGCGUAGCAAAUAUUACGUCAUUUACACGAAUAAAUCACUCGCGCUAACCAUAAAGAUACUUUGUUGUACUUUGCAACUAUCGCAACGUAUUUAAUCGUAUUAUAACGUCGGCCAGAGAAGGUAGUGGAAACGAAACAGAGGAUAGCCCGAGGAAACCAUCGUUUUAUACUCUAUACUCUCUGCUCUAUACUCUAUACUCUAUACUCUUCAGUACCUGUACUACCCUAUACUACCCUGUACUAUACAUUCUGAACGAUUUGGCCGAACCAAGCAUUCGAUCGAUUUGACAACAAAUCAUGCUAAAUAUUUUUCCAAUAAUUUUCACACGAUCUUCGAAUAAGAAUCGCGAAUAUCCAGUAUAUACGAUGCAUACGAUACAAUGUAUAGGUUCGAGGUUAGAUUAAAUUCGAUUAUUUAAAGCGCCGUAUAUUACCCUCAUCGAGAUAUCGAAGUAGGCGUAGGUCACUGUCACACAGAGUGUCUAUUUUUGAACGAUCGAUCGUGUGUUCGCACGAGUGCGAAAUGUUCACAUAACGUACAGAGUACGCGAGUUCCAUCGAACCUCCGGCAAAGACUGUUCUCGAAAGCGGUUCUUCUUCGUCUUGGAAAGCUUCGUUUGAAACACCAUUUGCCGUGUCUGACUUUCAACGGACAACUCGUAGCAGAGUUUCAGCUCGCGGUCGAUUUCUCGCAUCCGUACUCGAGACUAAAAACCCGAAACCUGCCCCUUUCACCGAUUCUAUGCGAGAAAUAACGAGACGACGACGGAAGGAUCGAUCGUCGAAAAGUCAACGGCACACAGGACCGUAUAUACCUUCGUGUAUUUGUCGCAUCGAUCCAUUUCUAAAUU